ACUGCUGUUAUCUGCCACGCGUGAGGGGAGAACCCUGGGCCGUGUCUGGCCAUCCUGCUUGUUCAAAGGGAAGUGACCUCAAAUUUGAAGACCUCACCACAGUCUGACCAGAGGAGAAGUACUGUUGGACCUGUUGCUCAUCAACACAGAAGAACAAGGGAUAACAAGUGGUGGCCACCUGACCAGAAGGAGGAAGAGGAUGAGGCCUUCUACAGGCAGCUCGAAGCAGCCUCAGAGUCACAGGUACAAACAGCCCAGGAGGUUCCUGGAAAGCGAUGAUGACAACUUCCUGUCACAGAUAUGAGUUUGUGAAGUUAAAGAACUAGAUGAAGACAUCAAGUCCUGCCAGUCAAAGAAGCACUGGACUGCAUGAGAAAGAGUUCUUUUUAGUUCUAAAAAAUACAUCAAGCAUUAACUUCUCUCUGUAGGAUCUCCUCUCUGUAAAGAAAAUAAGGAUGGAAAUCUGUGCUGGUAAACCUCAAGGACUGAAAUCCUGUCUAUGGCACCUAAGUCAAGAAAGGCUUAAAAUGCUGGAAUGCCUUCAUAGAAAUACAAAAAAAUUAUAAUUUACUUCCUGAACAUAAUCUUGCAGGAAAAAAAAGAAAGGAAACAGCUACAGUGUAAUUUUUACUUCAAUUAACUUCAUGGAUCCAAUUCAGCAAUUGUAUUACACUGCCUGUGAAAUCUAUUGACCCAGUGGGAGAGCUCUGUGCAACAUAUGCCACAAGACAAAUCUUUUGGCUCACCGGUGUGAUGAGUACUAGAAUACUGGCCAGACUAGAAUGCAGUCUUUUUUUUGAGAGGCUGACCUGUGAGAACAGAGGGAAGCAAUUUUUAAGAGGUAGAAUACUUUUUCUUAUAAACUGUGAGAACUUUGGCUGGGCUUGGGGUCAUCACUGUCUGCAAAUAUUUCUUUCCUUAUGUUAUGUGCACUAUAUAUCUUGACCUAUUAACCAUGAAAACAGCUCCCAGUUUUUAGCUACAAGAAUUCCUACUUAUUACUGAUUUGUCUUGUAGUCUGAGACAUAUUCUAGAGGCUAGUGUAUCUUCACUUUAUUUCACUCAGUUUUCAGGUUUGUGAGUAUAAUUUUAUUCUCUUCAAAUUGUUUCCAUUUUAGAUUUUUUUUCUUUUCUGAAUGCUGAUAUACUCUAUUGCCUCUAAGCCAGGCACUCUUUAAUUCGUUAUCAUUUCCCCUUUCGUUUUAAAUACAUAGAUAAAAGAAAGCUACUUGGGCAUAUAGUGCAAUUAAUGCAUUUUUUGUAACUCUUGAGGAAAAAGAUCUUUGAUUCCCUGCCCCUGUUGCACCCUCAAAGAUACCAUACUCACGUUCAUUGUGCUUUGAAUAUGCUUUCUUUAGUUAAGAGCACAAAACUGCUUCCUUUUUCAGUCUAAUAAAAAAAUCUACUGUCUAUUUAAGUGGAUC